GAUGAACGCUGGCGGCGUGCCUAACACAUGCAAGUCGAGCGAACAGACGCGGAGCUUGUUCCUCUGACGUUAGCGGCGGACGGGUGAGUAACACGUGGAUAACCUCCUUAUAAGACCGGGAUAAUAUCGGGAAACCGGUGUUAAUACUGCAUAAUAUAUUGAACCGCAUGGAUCAUUAGUGAAAGACGGUUUUGCUGUCACUUAUAGAUGGCUCCGCGCCGCAUUAGCUAGUUGGUAAGGUAACGGCUUACCAAGGCGACGCUGCGUAGCCGACCUGAGAGGAGGAUCGGCCACACUGGAACGGAGACACGGUCCAGACGCCUACGGGAGGCAGCAGUAGGGAAGCUUCCGCAAUGGGCGAAAGAUGGACGGAGCAACGCCGCGUGAGUGAUGAAGGUCUUCGGAUCGUAAAACUCUGUUAUUAGGGAAGAACAAAUGUGUAAGUAACUAUGCACGUCUUGACGGUACCUAAUCAGAAAGCCACGGCUAACUACGUG
rnacentral:rRNA from 1 species